rnacentral:tRNA from 1 species
CGCUCCANUAGCUCAGUUGGUAGAGCGCAACCUUGCCAAGGUUGAGGUCACGAGUUCGAACCUCGUGUGUCGC